rnacentral:rRNA from 1 species
GACGAACGCUGGCGGCGUGCCUAAUACAUGCAAGUAGAACGCUGAAGCGAGGAGCUUCCUCUUCUUGGAUGAGUUGCGAACGGGUGAGUAACGCGUAGGUAACCUGCCUUGUAGCGGGGGAUAACUAUUGGAAACGAUAGCUAAUACCGCAUAACAAUGGAUGACACAUGUCCUUUAUUUGAAAGGGGCAAUUGCUCCACUACAAGAUGGACCUGCGUUGUAUUAGCUAGUAGGUGAGGUAAUGGCCCACCUAGGCGACGAUACAUAGCCGGCCUGGGAGGGUGGACGGCCAAACUGGGAAUGGAACACCGCCCAGACUCCUAAGGGAAGCAGCAGGAGGGGAUCUUCGGAAAUGGGGGCAACCCUGGACGAACAACGCCGCGUGGGUGAAGAAGGUUUUCGGGUCGUAAAGCUCUGUUGUAAGUCAAGAACGGGUGUGAGGGUGGAAAGUUCACACUGUGACGGUAGCUUACCAGAAAGGGACGGCUAACUACGUG